GCCUUCGUGGUGUAAUGAUCAGAACACACUUGCCACUUAUUCGAGAGGUCCGGGUUCGAAUCCCAGCGAGGGCA
rnacentral:tRNA from 1 species